GAUGGGCCCGCGUCCUAUCAGCUUGUUGGUGAGGUAACGGCUCACCAAGGCUACGACGGGUAGCUGGUCUGAGAGGAUGAUCAGCCACACUGGGACUGAGAUACGGCCCAGACUCCUACGGGAGGCAGCAGUGGGGAAUCUUGCGCAAUGGGCGAAAGCCUGACGCAGCAACGCCGCGUGAGCGAAGAAGGCCUUCGGGUUGUAAAGCUCUGUCAGGAGGAAAGAAGGCACCUGGGUUAAUAGCCCAAGGGCUGACGGUACCUCCAAAGGAAGCCACGGCUAACUACGUGCCAGCAGCCGCGGUAAUACGUAGGUGGCAAGCGUUGUCCGGAAUCAUUGGGCGUAAAGAGCGCGUAGGUGGCUUGUCAGGUCUGGUGUGAAAUUUCGGGGCUCAACCCCGAACCUGCAUCGGAAACCGGCUUGCUAGAGUCUGGGAGAGGAGAGUGGAAUUCCUGGUGUAGCGGUGAAAUGCGUAGAUAUCAGGAGGAACACCGGUAGCGAAGGCGGCUCUCUGGAACAGUACUGACGCUGAGGCGCGAAAGCUAGGGGAGCGAACAGGAUUAGAUACCCUGGUAGUCCUAGCCGUAAA
rnacentral:rRNA from 1 species